rnacentral:rRNA from 1 species
AGAGUUUGAUCCUGGCUCAGGACGAACGCUGGCGGCACGCCUAACACAUGCAAGUCGAACGGAGAAAAUGAUUUCGGUUAUUUUCUUAGUGGCGGACGGGUGAGUAACACGUGAGGAACCUGCCUCUGAGAGUGGGAUAGCUUCUGGAAACGGAUGGUAAUACCGCAUAACAUAGCGAAACCGCAUGAUUUUGCUAUCAAAGUAUUUCGCUCAGAGAUGGCCUCGCGUCUGAUUAGAUAGUUGGUGAGGUAACGGCUCACCAAGUCGACGAUCAGUAGCCGGACUGAGAGGUUGAACGGCCACACUGGGACUGAGACACGGCCCAGACUCCUACGGGAGGCAGCAGUGGGGGAUAUUGCACAAUGGGGGAAACCCUGAUGCAGCGAUGCCGCGUGGAGGAAGAAGGUUUUCGGAUUGUAACUCCUGUCGUAAGGGAAGAGAAAGGACUGUACCUUACAAGAAAGCUCCGGCUAACUACGUGCCAGCAGCCGCGGUAAUACGUAGGGAGCGAGCGUUGUCCGGAAUGACUGGGUGUAAAGGGAGCGUAGGCGGGAUGGCAAGUCAGAUGUGAAACCUGAGGGCUCAACCUUCAGACUGCAUUUGAAACUGCUGUUCUUGAGUGAAGUAGAGGUAAGCGGAAUUCCUGGUGUAGCGGUGAAAUGCGUAGAGAUCAGGAGGAACAUCGGUGGCGAAGGCGGCUUACUGGGCUUUUACUGACGCUGAGGCUCGAAAGCGUGGGGAGCAAACAGGAUUAGAUACCCUGGUAGUCCACGCUGUAAACGAUGAUUACUAGGUGUGGGGGGAUUGACCCCUUCCGUGCCGCAGUUAACACAAUAAGUAAUCCACCUGGGGAGUACGACCGCAAGGUUGAAACUCAAAGGAAUUGACGGGGGCCCGCACAAGCAGUGGAGUAUGUGGUUUAAUUCGAAGCAACGCGAAGAACCUUACCAAGUCUUGACAUCCUUCUGACCGGUACUUAACCGUACCUUCUCUUCGGAGCAGGAGUGACAGGUGGUGCAUGGUUGUCGUCAGCUCGUGUCGUGAGAUGUUGGGUUAAGUCCCGCAACGAGCGCAACCCUUAUCUUUAGUAGCCAGCGGUUUAGCCGGGCACUCUAGAGAGACUGCCAGGGAUAACCUGGAGGAAGGCGGGGAUGACGUCAAAUCAUCAUGCCCCUUAUGACUUGGGCUACACACGUGCUACAAUGGCGUAAACAAAGGGAAGCAAAGCUGUGAAGCCGAGCAAAUCUCAAAAAUAACGUCUCAGUUCGGACUGUAGUCUGCAACCCGACUACACGAAGCUGGAAUCGCUAGUAAUCGCAGAUCAGAAUGCUGCGGUGAAUACGUUCCCGGGUCUUGUACACACCGCCCGUCACACCAUGGGAGUUGGGAAUGCCCGAAGCCAGUGACCUAACCGAAAGGAAGGAGCUGUCGAAGGCAGGCUCGAUAACUGGGGUGAAGUCGUAACAAGGUA